GAAUUAUUGGGCGUAAGGGCUCGCAGGCGGUUUCUUAAGUCUGAUGUGAAAGCCCCCGGCUCAACCGGGGAGGGUCAUUGGAAACUGGGGAACUUGAGUGCAGAAGAGGAGAGUGGAAUUCCACGUGUAGCGGUGAAAUGCGUAGAGAUGUGGAGGAACACCAGUGGCGAAGGCGACUCUCUGGUCUGUAACUGACUCUGAGGAGCGAAAGCGUGUGGAGCGAACAGGAUUAGAUACCC
rnacentral:rRNA from 1 species